rnacentral:lncRNA from 1 species
GAUUUAGCUUUAUGUUCACACAGAGCACAGAGCUGUACCCUGGAGAGGAACAAACCUGGCAGGAGCUUCAAGUGAAAAGUAUUUUCUGGAAACAGAGGAUGCUAAACCACAAGGGCCACCUAAGAUGAAUCUCUGGUCAAGACAAGUCAAUUUUGACCUGGUGAAGGCACAGUGAAGUUGAUGGCAUUACUCUGAAGUGAAACCAUUGCAAAGAGUUGUAAGGCCAGGCUGCAGUAAUGUGAUGACUGGAAAAUAGCUCAAGUGGAAAUAAAAAAAGGACAUUGGAAACA